rnacentral:rRNA from 1 species
UGAAGGUCAGGCUGAAGACCUUACCCGAUUAGCUGAGAGGUGGUGCAUGGCCGUCGUCAGUUCGUACUGUGAAGCAUCCUGUUAAGUCAGGCAACGAGCGAGACCCACGUCCACAGUUGCCAGCAUACCCUCCGGGGUGAUGGGUACACUGUGGAGACCGCCGCUGCUAAAGCAGAGGAAGGAGUGGGCAACGGUAGGUCAGUAUGCCCCGAAUCUCCCGGGCUACACGCGGGCUACAAUGGUUGGUACAAUGGGCAUCUACCCCGAAAGGGGAAGGAAAUCUCUUAAAGCCAAUCGUAGUUCGGAUUGAGGGCUGCAACUCGCCCUCAUGAAGCUGGAAUCCGUAGUAAUCGCGUUUCAACAGAACGCGGUGAAUACGUCCCUGCUCCUU